AAGUCGUAACAAGGUUUCCGUAGGUGAACCUGCGGAAGGAUCAUUAAAAGAAUCUGCCUCACCCACAGAUAUCUUACCACGUGUGAACUGUCUAGCUUGUCACCCAAGAUGGACACCUCAGAGAUCUCGGUCUUUGGGGGGUCUGUCUUGGGGGUCAGCUUAUGCUACUGAUUGUGCCCCGAGAAUCUUUAAAAGACUAUAAAACUUUUAGCAAUGGAUCUCUAGGCUCCU
rnacentral:misc_RNA from 1 species